UUAACUAAAAAGUGGAAUGAACUCACGCCUGUAAUCCCAGCACUUUGGGAGGCUGAGGUGGGUGGAUCAUGAGGUCAGGAGUUUGAGACCAGCCUGGCCAACAUGGUGAAACCCCGUCUGUACUGAAAAUACAAAAAUUAGCCAGGCUUGGUGGCACAUGCCUGUCGUUCUGGCUACUCGGGAGGCUGAGGCAGGAGAAUCGCUUGAACCUGGGAGGCGGAGGUUGCAGUGAGCCAAGAUCAAGCCACUGCACUCCAGCCUGGGUGACAGAGUGAGACUCCGUCUCAAACAAACAAACAAACAAACAAACAAACAAACAAACAAACAAACUAAGGAACGAAAGUGGAAUGAAGACCUGACACCCAUGAGUAAGUCCUCAGUAAAUGUUAAGAUUUCCUCCCAAAAUACUGACAGAACCUACUCUCUGCAGCCCCUGUACUAUGAUCUAGGGAUGCACUGAUAACGAAGACCAGAUGUUAUUAUUGUUUAUACACCAGUAGGCUGUCUAGGAAACCUCUCUUCCUGAUGUUUCCCAAGGCAGAUGUCACCACGUCCUUUCCAUGAAGGAGCUACAAUUGUUGCAUAACUUUGCUCAAAUUUUUGGAUCACCCUGGGGUUUGGUUUCCCCAUAUCUUUAGUUACUUCUCCAAGCCAGACAUUCAAGAUUACCUGACUCUGAGUGACCCCAUGAUGGCAUGGGACCUCAUGGCUGACACACCUACCAAUGCCCAGAGCCCUGGAGGAAGAGCAAGCCCACUUCUGAUCACACAAUGAAAUUGGGGGCUUUCUGCAGAAGACUUUAAUCCUGCAGAGGCUGACAGUCCCAAAAACGAGCUGACAAGGAGCAAUUUAUUUGAGACUGUCCUCAAAAGAGAGAAUAAGGCUAGUUUGUAGGAAACGUGCCCAGACAUCUGAAGGCACAUUUCCAAGAUGGUACUUCCUGCUGGAGGCCCUGGGUGAUAUGAGGCCACCUCUCUGGCCUGCUUUGAGGGUCCACCUGGCACUGGGAAGUGAGGCACCAGGAACCCACCUCUCUUGCUUUUAGGCUAGUGCUGGAGUUGCGUGUUUGCUGUGAAUCACUUACAAAACUUUCUUGAGACAUCAGCAUG
rnacentral:lncRNA from 1 species